ensembl:lncRNA
GGCCGGAACCGGAACCGGGAGGGGGGACCGGAAGCGGGUCCUGUGGGCGGGGCCGGAACCGGGAGGGAGAAACCGGAACCGGGACAUGGGGGCGGGCCCGGCCUGUGAUUGACACCUGCCCCCCGCAGGCUUCCGCCGCAGCGACCGGGACGAGUACCAGAAGGAGCUCUACGAGACGGCGAACCGGUACCACGUGCUGCACAGCCUGGCGCUGCUGGCGGUGCCCCGCUGCCGCCGCCCCGCCCUGGCCGGCGCCCUGCUCUGCGGGGGGCUGGGGCUCUUCUGCGGCCCCUUCUACUACCACGCGGUGACGGGCGACCCGGGGCUGAACCGCGCCGCCCCCGUCGGCGGCUCCCUCCUCAUCCUCGGCUGGCUCGCUAUGGCCCUCUGAGGGGCCCCGGCGUCCGGGAGGGGCCCCGGCGUCCGGGGGGCCCCGGCGUCCGGGCCCCUCCCCCGCCGCCACGGGCCCCUCCGGGACCUGCUGCCCCCACACUGCGGCCUGUCCCUUUAAGGGGCGGAGCUUCCCCAGCGACCCCCUUCCCUGUUGGCUGAGCUACCGGCCAAUAGGGGAGGGGGGCUCGCUGUGUGCCAGGCCCUGAUUGGCCUGAAGCCCUGUAGAACAGCCAACCAAUAGGAAAGCGGCGGGUGACCUCUCCCUCCUUGCGAUUGGCUGUGGCAACCUCAGCUCCCGGCCAGCCAAUGGGAGCAGUGGAGCUGGCUUGCAUCAUGGCCGUUGCUGGGCAACAGCCAAUGGGCCACUGGCUCCCCUCUCAUUGGCUGGGAGAGCAGCCAAUCAGAAAGGUGGGCUCUACAGGCACCUCCAAUAGGGUGCCAGGAGCGUGAGGAGCCCGGCCAAUGGGGAGUGAGGUGGGUGAGGCGCUGCCCUGGGGAGGCUGCUGAUUGGCUGGAGAGGCAGCCAACGGCAGCUUCCGAUUGGCCAGGAGCCAGCCUGCCCCCUGCUCUUUUAACCAAUAAAGAAUGAAGCCUCCAGCUGCA